rnacentral:rRNA from 1 species
UACGUAGGGGCAGCGUUGUCCGGAAUCAUUGGGCGUAAGAGCGUGUAGGCGGCUCGGUAAGUCCGUUCUGAAAGUCCAGGGCUCAACCCUGGGAUGCGGAUGGAUACUGCCGGGCUCGAGUCCGGAAGAGGCGAGUGGAAUUCCGGUGUAGCGGUGAAAUGCGCAGAUAUCGGGAGGAACACCAAUGGCGAAGGCAGCUCGCUGGGACGUGACUGACGCUG